UACGGGGGGAGCAAGCGUUGUUCGGAUUUACUGGGCGUAAAGGGCGUGCAGGCGGUCUGUUAAGUUCAGGGUGAAAGCUCCCGGCUCAACUGGGAGAGGUCCUUGGAUACUGGCAGACUUGAGGAGGGUAGAGGAGAGUGGAAUUCCCGGUGUAGUGGUGAUAUGCGUAGAUAUCGGGAGGAACACCAGUGGCGAAGGCGGCUCUCUGGGCCCUACCUGACGCUGAGACGCGAAAGCGUGGGGAGCGAACCGG
rnacentral:rRNA from 1 species